GAACUCUUCAAGCACUAUACAGGGCUUUCAGGAAGACCCAAUGAACAAUUUUUGAGGACCUCUGCGAAGAAGCAGAGGUG
rnacentral:snRNA from 1 species